rnacentral:rRNA from 1 species
UCGAACGCGUCUUGGUUAUUGAUGUUAGAUGCUUGCAUUUAACUGAUUUAACAUUGAGACGAGUGGCGAACUGGUGAGUAACACGUGGGUAACCUGCCCUUGAAGUAGGGGAUAACACUUGGAAACAGGUGCUAAUACCGUAUAACAACCAAAACCACCUGGUUUUGGUUUAAAAGAUGGCUUCGGCUAUCACUUUAGGAUGGACCCGCGGCGUAUUAGCUUGUUGGUAAGGUAACGGCCUACCAAGGCAAUGAUACGUAGCCGACCUGAGAGGGUAAUCGGCCACAUUGGGACUGAGACACGGCCCAAACUCCUACGGGAGGCAGCAGUAGGGAAUCUUCCACAAUGGACGAAAGUCUGAUGGAGCAACGCCGCGUGAGUGAUGAAGGGUUUCGGCUCGUAAAACUCUGUUGUUGGAGAAGAACAGGUGUGAGAGUAACUGUUCACAUCUUGACGGUAUCCAACCAGAAAGCCACGGCUAACUACGUGCCAGCAGCCGCGGUAAUACGUAGGUGGCAAGCGUUGUCCGGAUUUAUUGGGCGUAAAGCGAGCGCAGGCGGUUUCUUAGGUCUGAUGUGAAAGCCUUCGGCUUAACCGGAGAAGUGCAUCGGAAACCAGGAGACUUGAGUGCAGAAGAGGACAGUGGAACUCCAUGUGUAGCGGUGAAAUGCGUAGAUAUAUGGAAGAACACCAGUGGCGAAGGCGGCUGUCUGGUCUGUAACUGACGCUGAGGCUCGAAAGCAUGGGUAGCGAACAGGAUUAGAUACCCUGGUAGUCCAUGCCGUAAACGAUGAGUGCUAAGU